GACGAACGCUGGCGGCGUGCUUAACACAUGCAAGUCGAACGGAAAGGCCCUGCUUUUGUGGGGUGCUCGAGUGGCGAACGGGUGAGUAACACGUGAGUAACCUGCCCUUGACUUUGGGAUAACUUCAGGAAACUGGGGCUAAUACCGGAUAGGAGCUCCUGCUGCAUGGUGGGGGUUGGAAAGUUUCGGCGGUUGGGGAUGGACUCGCGGCUUAUCAGCUUGUUGGUGGGGUAGUGGCUUACCAAGGCUUUGACGGGUAGCCGGCCUGAGAGGGUGACCGGCCACAUUGGGGCUGAGAUACGGCCCAGACUCCUACGGGAGGCAGCAGUGGGGAAUAUUGCACAAUGGGCGGAAGCCUGAUGCAGCAACGCCGCGUGCGGGAUGACGGCCUUCGGGUUGUAAACCGCUUUCGCCUGUGACGAAGCGUGAGUGACGGUAAUGGGUAAAGAAGCACCGGCUAACUACGUG
rnacentral:rRNA from 1 species